UAACGUGUACGUGACCGCAAUCCCUUCUCACGAUCCUCCCAACGUCCUCGCGCUGCGGUCCUCCUCCACAAUCUCCUCUACCAGGGCGCAUCCUCCCAACGUCCUCGUGCCGCCGUCCUCCUUCCCGAUCUCCUCUGCCAGGGUGCCCUACUCGCGAUCCGGCCGACAUGUCCUCGCGCCACACUCUCUUCUCAUCGAUCUCCUCUGCCAGCGGGAGCCCUCUGCCGGGAAUGCGAGCUUUUCCACCGCCGCGUGCACCGGCACGCUCAGGGGAUGCACCGCUCUGCUGCAGCCACUGGUCUGGCCGUGCCGGAGCCGGGGGAGCGCCGUCAUGUGCAACGCGUUGGUGUAGCUCGGCCCACCCACGAUGCAGUGGGUCUCCGUCGCGGCCGCCGCGUGAGUGCCUCCCCUCAUCUCCUUGUCGAUACCUAAAAGUACAUUUUCCGGUGCGAUUUGCUCCUACAGAAACGCAUGAGCCUUUCCGGGCUCUGAAUAUGUUCGUGCUUUUGCUUGCAAGAGCUGUAAAUUGCGCAACUGCUGGUGUCAGAUUGUAAGAUGCGCCAUCCUGUCAUAGAUUCUGCAACCUAUCGAUGGUUACUCGUUCAAAACUCCGAGGGCAUCAUACAACAACUAUUAGAUGGAGUUGGUUCUUCAUCAGUAAACAUGAGUUAAUAUUUUCACAGUAAGUAAAAAAAAUAAACACAUCAUGUCCAUAGCUUUAGGAGGUAGGAGCAACAUUAACACACUUCACAAGAACUAGAGAGACAAUAUACUUGUAGUACCAUAUGUUGCAACGACGAAUGCUGCUAGAUAUUCAGCCUGUUUACACAUGAACAUGACACCGUGUGUUCAGUAGCAUCACUCUGUAUCACAAAAAAGUGCAAUGCAUGUUUUUCAUAUAACUCGAAUGCAGAAAUUUACUCAAGGUAUAAAUUCAAGUCAUGUUAACAUCAUCAGUCUGUUAAACAUAACUUACAGGAUAUGGUACUCAGGGUUCGGACCACUUGGUGACGCUUAGCUUGCUGCAGAAUUGUAGUGUAUCUACUUUAUGCUUCUGAUCCAUCAUAAGUUACUAUCGCAUUCAUGUUACGAUACUAACUUGUCAACACCAAGGUGGUAAUAUUGCUUCAGAUCUUGGAUGAGCUACUGGAGCUAUUCAGGCCAUGACUCCAAAUCGUAAUUGCUUUCUUGAGGAUCUUCAAUCUUGUGUAACUGAAAAGUGCUCUUGCUUGGUAAAGGCACAAGCAUACACAAAUCUUUCCUCGUGCCAUUGUUUGUUCUGCAAGCACCUACCCCUAUAAUCUCAUGGAUCAAGUAGGGAAAAUUUUGUUUUUGCCAUCUAGAUUUUUCCAUUUUCCUUAUGCCACUCAUAUUUUGACAUUUCACUUUUGCCACUCUUACUUUUUGACAGUUAUCACAAUUGCCAUUCCCGUGGCAAAAGCAAAAUUUUCAGAGUGGCAAUUGUGAUAGAUUUCAAAAGCUGAGAGUGGCAAAAAUGUAAUAAAAUUAUUUUGCUUUUGCCACAGAAUGGCAAUUGUGAUAAUCGUCAAAAGCUAAGAGUGGCAAAAGUGAAAUGUCAAAUUCUAGAAUGGUAUAAGGAAACUUGGCAAAAUCUAGAGUGGCAAAAACAAAAAUUUCCCAGUAGGGUUCUGCCACUUGGCCCAAAAGAAUUAUUACCUUGCUCUUUUCUUGCUAUAGCUACUGGAUGUUUAUUCUUUUUGAGACAAGAACACUUACUUUUGGCGUACUUAUCCUAUGGUGUCUAUUCCAAAUAUUAGGAGUGAAUAUGGGCUGUGGACUGCUUUUCUUGUGCUUGCAGUGCAUUUGUUCUUACCCUUUCCAGAUGAGCUAGAGCUUCCACUAUCAACAAUGCUGGCGGUCAGCAUUGCUGCUUACUAGGUGAUGAAUGUGAGGUAUGUAACAUUCUCGCCAUUUUGAAAGACAUUAGUUGUACUGCUGCAUAUGUCUUUGAUAAUUCAACCACUUUGUCAAUUGUCCGCUAGAUGAAAAGUGUCUAAAAAGAAAGGAAAAUAACAUGUAGAAGAACUGUUAAGCUGAGAAUUCAUUGCCUAGCUUAGCCAGUGCAACAUGAAAAAGGUUUAAGAGGAUCUAGCUUAAUCCAUGUGUACGGUAGCAGAUCAUAUACUCUGCUUUCUUCAAUUUCCUAAGUUACCGUUUCACCCCUAGCCACAUUUGCGGGCAAAACAUUGAAGUUUGUGCAAGCAAUAGAUCUAGAGAAUCUUUUGUAGGGCCUGAGUUACUUGAUAGACAUCUAAUAAAAAGAGGCAUUUUCUUUUAGCUCGAUACAAAAUGUACCAGUGCUAUUGGGUGCUCUUUGGUACUAAAAUUGCCUCACCCACUCUACAAAACCUUGAGUGUAUAUGGUCUUUUGUUCUUCACUAUUACAUUAUUAAGGCUACUAAUUUGUGAUAUCUAUAGAUGAAAACACAUAAUGCAACAUAAUUGAUUCAUCUGACGAUCCAGUGUUCCCUGCUCUUUUUGUGUGAACUCCAACUAGAUAUAUUUAGCUGGGGUAUUUUUUGCCACUUAUUAUUUGUUACAAAGAGUUGGGUGUUUCUAGACACAAAAUAUUUUGUUCACUGGUUUGUACCAAUGGGUUAGUUCCAUCUCAGGUUAAAUUAGACAGUGUUGAUCAAAAAUGAAAUGUGGCCAUUGAUUGAUCGAUCGGUGAUGGCACAUAUGUGAAAAGCAUCAAUUAUAUAUCCCACUGUGUUGGACCCAAAUACCUUCUGGAAAAAAAUUCUGAAGGGUGGGAUACUAGACCACCAUGUAAUUUCAGUUAUCUCUUUAUUAUAUAAAAUAGGUGGAAUUUUAGGUACGGUCUGCUAUCCCCCCUCCCUAAUUUGGUUAUAUUGUUUUUAAGGUAGCUAUUUAUUUUGAGUUUUUCUGUGUCAAACACAGAGGUUGAAUGUAUGGCUUUUUACGGGAGGUUGAAUGUAUGGCUUUUUAUGGGAGGUUGAAUGUAUGGCUUAGCACUACAUGUGGGUUGUUCUGCUCAAGUUAUUUCAGUUACA